UUGUGACACAGCUUCAGUUAAAAAAAAAAAAAAAAAAGGAAGGAUACAGAGAAGAUUAGCAUGGCCCCAGCACAAGAAUGACACCCAAAUUCGUGAAGCUUUCCAUAUUAAA